rnacentral:lncRNA from 1 species
CAGGGACAACUACAACUAGUUCAGGUCAAUCAGAGCUCCGUCCAUUCUGAAGUCAGCUUUGAAGUCAAUUUGGCAGCAGGCUUUGGAAAGGGGACUGUCAGAGUUCCUCACCAUCCCAUGCUGUUGUGAAGCUCUCUUGGUUUUGGAGUCUAAAUAGAAGCUUAACGCUUACUUUUGUGAGUGCUUUAUAAAGAGGUAAAUAGGUUGCAAAGGGCAGAGUGAAAGCCUGUCAGCAGCUGCUGAAAAGCAGAGCUUAUUUUAGCACCUGCCUGAAAAUACUUCUGGAGGGGAACACUUUCAAAGUCACAACAUACAACAGUGCCGCAGGUUACCAUCUGUUUAUGACAACACAAAUCCAAUAUGUCAUAAACAUGUUCUGGCCUUUACAGUUUUCCCAGCCUGAGAUGAAGACCGUACCUAUCCUACUGCUCUGUGGUUUUCUACAAAAGAUAAAUAUCUAGUUUAUUGUUUGGUGGUACUGUGGUUAAUUUGUCUCUGUGUAGAAGACUGGCCUAGGUUCCAUGUUUUCAGUGCAUUACAUUUAAUGGGAGCUGUGACAUUUUAAAAUGAAGUACAGAGGCUUAAUACUGGAAUCAACUUCUUGAUGUCCUGGUCCAUCUUACUUAUACCUGUGAUCUGAAAAUGACUGAAGUUUAUAGGUGUCUUUCCAUUGACCAAGUAGCUUUGACAAUACCUUUCUACCUAGAGUAGUCCUGUGAUCAUGACAUGGCUGCUUUUUGACAGCUGAAGAGCUGCUCUGUAUUGAGGUUGUCAACAUUCUCUUUGGAUUAACAUUAAUUAACUUAAGGCUGGUUUUGUUGGGCUCGCUCCAGGUCUUACUGACAGUAUUUUAUGUUGACUGUGUUUGUUAGGUUCUCUCUAUUGUUCCUUUUAAGUGUACGGUAAGUAUUUAGUCUGCAGGAGUGAUGUCCAACCUUUAUGACAGAGGAAUAAUGACUGUUGAUUUAGUAUGUUAAAAUGUACCCUGUUUGUCCCAUGUAACAUAUCAAAAUACAAUCAGAGGAAAGAAAGGAGCUCUUUCUCAUCAGAUAGAAAUUGAUUUGAAUCAUUUAUUUGAGGAAUAUAAAAUACAAUCAUUGACAAAGGAUCAGUAGUCUAGAGGCUAGGGCCCUAGGUCCAGUUUUUAGUUCAGAUACAGGUUUACCUGAGUUGAUUUUUGUCUUAGCACACAGGAAAAAUGUGCUUUUGUAAUUUGAAUCUGAUCUAAGUCAAGAUCUGAAUAAAAACAAGACAGCUUGUAAUUAUUAUAGAAGU